CCUGCUGUUGUGAGUAUUAAAUCUGUAAACAGGCGAAUAUGGGGACAGGGGACAUAUUCGAAUGAUGGCCCCGGUCAAAUUUUCUAAUAACUCAGACAUGGUCUUUUGAAGGUACUGGAAACUGAUAUUUUUCUGUCAUUGUAUUCUUUCUUGUUUGUGUGUAGAAAAUGAGAAGUAUUUUUGGGUUUUACCCGAAACUAAGCAUUUUGGUAGCUUUAUAUCACAUCCGUGUUGUUUGUGCCGUGUGGCGGCUGUAAAAAGUCUCCCCGUACAUUUAAUCAAUGAUGUUAUAUUUUCGAUCCUUGAAGAUCGUUCAGCACGACAUUAUUGUUGUGCUUGUGGUAUUUUUAGUUUCAACUUUUCGGCAUUUUUUAGUUGGGUGGUUCCUGUAUUCCUACUUGAAUAAUGUUGAAUCACCCUUAGGAUAUGUUGUCUGCUUUUUAAACUUGUCUUAUAACGUCUUAUCUGUGAUAUGCAGGCCUCAUAACCUCUGAUCCCCUUUCAAAAUUCCAUUUUAUGUAGUUCCGCCCAUUGUUUUCUCGUUUAGGGCACACGCUUUUUAUUACUUUGGGACCAUACGCCGCUUUCCAUGGAAUGGCACGGAAGUGUCACAUUGAAGGUUCCAUGAUACCCGCCGUAUGAACACAUAUGCGGAUGUUUUUAAAUUCAAAAUUUUACUAUUUCAUGUUUAAAUGUUGAAUUCUGCUUAAGCCGGUGCUAGGGGGCGUGGACGGUAACUUGCACUUUCCAGUACCGUCCAUGAACAGGCUCAAUCAAACCGAGCCUGCAACAUUUUCAAUUUUGCCGUGUUGGGCUUUCUUAAGGGAUUCUGUAUUUAUCUAAUUGUAAGUAUUUCUGACUCUCCGAAUGGAGGUGAAAAAGUUCAGUUUUGACAGUUGGCGCCUAGCAAGAAAGAAAUUUCAGAUAAAUUUUGUGAAAAAUCUUAACGUAUGACAGACACUUUAUUUGUAAUUUUUGAAAAUGCCAUAGCUUGCACUGUGUGUUAUUGAUAAUUUUAAAGGAAUCGGGCGGAUUCUGGAGUGUGCUGCACCUUCAUGAAGAUUGUCCAUAUGGGUAUAUUUUAGGUGUGAUUUUGGCUGGAUGGGGGUAAAUAUAAAUUGCUGUCAGUCUUUUUUUUAGGAGCAAUGCAUGCUAACUAUUAUUUUCUUCAAUGUAUGUCAUAUAUCAUUGAAUAAUGCUGUGCAACUGGUUAUCUGCCUGUGAGACAGAUUUUGAAAUAUUUGGAAUUGUAUUUCUGGUCACACUGAAAUAUAAAAUUGUUCAUUUUUAGGUCUCUUACAAUGGAGACGUUAUCUGUACGUCAUCUGUCGUUUAUGCGGGUUACCAGGUACCAAUAUAUACACGACUUGAUUCAUAUAAGGAUUGAGCUGAUUUUAGACAAAUACUUUACACUUAAUUCAAUAACAUUUUCAAAACAAUACCCGCAAUAAUAACGUUAUUUACAGAUAAAAAAUGAGAAAAUAGAUAAACAAGACAAAGCCAUAUUCACAGAGUGCAGCCCCAUGUAUAUUCCAGCUACGCAAGCAAGGUACUUUCAAGCUGCUGAAAAGACACUUAAGAACAAAUGCAAUCUUUAACAUAAUGAAUUUUCCAAAAUCGAGUUGUCAAGACUAUCCAUUAUGAAUAUUUAUCCCGUUCGAGUUUUGCACGUGUGCCCUGUCCUGUUCGGUGUUCAGCUGGGAUGCUAUCUGGUAGUCCUGUGUUGGGGGAUACGUGCCACUCUUCCUUGUUGAUCUUUCUUUUCAAUAUCUGGGACAUAUUUUUCUCUUGCACUGAAAUAAUAUUUUUAUCAUCUGUAUUAUCAGAAAGAUUGGUAAGUCUAAAAUGUAAAAUUCAGAUAACAUUGUAGCGGAUUUGACAUUUGUCUUGACAUUCAUGAUAAGAUAUGGAGAAAAUGUUGAAAUCGCUUAUGUCGUCAUUAACGUUUAAUUCAUAUGAACGGAUUUAUCAACAAUAUACGGUUCUAUUUAUGAAAUAAUUGAAAAUAAUUGCAACGGUUACGUUUGUUUUGCGGAAACAUACUUAUAAGAACAGAAGAAAUCGCAACAUGAUUGGCUUUCCUCUUCACAGAAAUAAAAGUUUCAUUCUAAUUCUUCUUGUUGUCGUCAGUAUUACUUGUAGUGUAAAUGGACAGCUUUGCCAGAAAGUCGUCGUUGCCGGGAGAAUAAUCUGCAAGGAUACAGCACCGUUCAUUGACGGGUUAGGACGAUGUGCAAGGAGUGUUCCUUCAGAGUCUGGCAAGAAAAGGUGUGGCUUAAUUGGAUCUGGUUGUCGAUGUCAAUCUAAUCAAGUUCUAAACAGGGUGGCAACAAAUUCAACUGCGAUCUCCCAGUUGUCAGGUCUGAUUGGACGGAAGUGACUACAUCCUCGGAUUGAAAUGCAAACAUAUUAAUACAUGUGUAUAAAUGGAUGACACAUCAUUUUUGUUUUCAUGAUUUAGAUUACUGUGUUGUAUUACAAGAUUUCUUUGUAAGUAUGAAUAUUGUAACAAUAUGAUUCUUAUACGUA